rnacentral:tRNA from 1 species
GUAGAUAUAGUUUACCAAAACAUUAGAUUGUGAUUCUAAAGACAGGGGUUAAAGCCCCCUUAUCCACC